AUGCCCCUUAAAAAGGGAGGUGAUGGAAUUAAACCACCCCCAAUCAUUGGAAGAUUUGGAACCUCACUGAAAAUUGGUAUUGUUGGAUUGCCAAAUGUUGGGAAAUCUACUUUCUUCAAUGUAUUAACCAAUAGUCAGGCUUCAGUAGAAAACUUCCCAUUCUGCAGUAUUGAUCCUAAUGAGAGCAGAGUACCUGUGCCAGAUGAAAGGUUUGACUUUCUUUGCCAAUACCACAAACCAGCAAGCAAAAUUCCUGCCUUUCUAAAUGUAGUGGAUAUUGCUGACCUUGUGAAAGGAGCUCACAAUGGGCAGGGCCUGGGGAAUGCUUUUUUAUCUCAUAUUAGUGCCUGGGAUGGCAUCUUUCAUCUAACACGUGCUUUUGAAGAUGAUGAUAUCACGUAUGUUGAAGGAAGUGUAGAUCCUAUUUGAGAUAUAUAAAUAAUACAUGAAGAGCUUCAGCUUAAAGAUGAGGAAAUGAUUGGGCUCAUUAUAGAUAAACUAGAAAAGGUGGCUGUGAGAGGAGGAGAUAAAAAACUAAAACCUGAAUAUGAUAUAACGUGCAAAGUAAAAUCUUGGGUUAUAGAUCAAAAGAAACCUGUUCGCUUCUAUCAUGAUUGGAAUGACAAAGAGAUUGAAGUGUUCAAUAAACACUUAUUUUUGACUUCAAAACCAAUGGUCUAUUUGGUUAAUCUUUCUGAAAAAGACUACAUUCGAAAGAAAAAUAAAUGGUUGAUAAAAAUUAAAGAGUGAGUGGACAAGUAUGACCCAGGUGCCUUGGUCAUUCCUUUUAGCGGGGCCUUGGAACUCAAAUUGCAAGAAUUGAGUGCUGAGGAGAGACAGAAGUAUCUGGAAGCGAACAUGACACAAACUGCUUUGCCAAAGACUAUUAAGGCUGGGUUUGCAGCACUCCAACUAGAAUACUUUUUCACUGCAGGCCCAGAUGAAGUGCAUGCAUGGACUAUCAGGAAAGGGACUAAGACUCCUCAGGCUGCAGGAAAGAUUCACACAGAUUUUGAAAAGGGAUUCAUUAUGGCUGAAGUAAUGAAAUACGAAGAUUUUAAAGGGGAAGGUUCUGAAAAUGCAGUCAAGGCUGCUAGAAAGUACAGACAACAGGCAGAAAUUAUAUUGUUGAAGAUGGAGAUAUUAUUUCUUCAAAUUUAACACACCUCAACAACCAAAGAAAAAAUAA